CCUUUAGACGUUCUGGGCCGCACGCGCGCUACACUGACCAGUGCAACAAGCAUCCGUCCUUGGCCGACAGGCUCGGGCAAUCUUUGAACGCUGGUCGUGAUGGGGAUAGACUUUUGCAAUUUUUGGUCUUCAACGAGGAAUUCCUAGUAAACGCAAGUCAUCAACUUGCAUUGAUUACGUCCCUGCCCUUUGUACACACCGCCCGUCGCACCUACCGAUUGAAUGGUCCGGUGAAGCCUCCGGAUUGGCGCGCACCUCGGUGCCGCCGAGAAGUUGGCUAAACCUUACCAUUUAGAGGAAGGUGAAGUCGUAACA
rnacentral:rRNA from 1 species